UACUCUGAUUUCUCUUGAGAUCGUAUAAAUCGUUCACCUUUUACUAAAGAUUUCUGUGGAAAGGAAUAUCUUGACAGACAGGUGUAUUUCUGCAUUUGUCCUCUUGCUGGUGACCC
ensembl:snRNA U5 U5 spliceosomal RNA